rnacentral:rRNA from 1 species
AUGAGGACAGAGCCCCUACUCAAGCGCCUGGUGGUGGUGGCCACCGACCCCAAGGGGCUCGAGCAGUGCCGGCGCAUGCACCCGCUCUGCCACCUGCUCUCCGGCGCGAACGGGGCCGCCCCCAACGGCACGGAGCUCAUGUUCUAUGACAAGGACUACGUGGACAUGAUGUGGGCGCGCAACAGGUUCCAGGCGCGGGUGCUCGCGUUGGGCCACUCCUUCCUCUUCACUGACCUGGACAUCUUGUGGUUCCGAAACCCGCUGCUGCGCAUCUCGGUCGGCGCCGACAUCACCCUGGGCUGCGACAACCAUUUCGGCACCAACCCGUACGACCUCGACAAGGCCGCCAAUGGCGGGUUCGUGUACGCGAGGCCGACCGCGGCAUCCCUGGCCUUCUUCAGGGACUGGUACGAGGCGAGGACGCGGUGGCCCGGGGAGAACGACCAGGUGGUGUUCAGAGAGAUGAAGCAUGAGCUGGCCGCAAGGCACGGGGCGACCGUGCAGCUCGUGGACACCACCUACUUCCAUAGCGCGUGCGAGGCGUGGAAGAAGUUCAACUUCCAUGAGAUAUGCACCUUCCACGCAGCCUGCAUCCACGGCCUGCAGGACAAGAUCGACAGGCUCAACGCCGUGCAAGACGAGUGGAGGCAGCUCAAGGCGCAGCAGCUGCUGCUCGGUGCCAACAGCACCACGCUCACCUACUGA